rnacentral:rRNA from 1 species
UACGUAGGGUGCAAGCGUUGUCCGGAAUUAUUGGGCGUAAAGAGCUUGUAGGCGGUUUGUCGCGUCUGCUGUGAAAUUUCGGGGCUCAACCCCGAACUUGCAGUGGGUACGGGCAGACUAGAGUCCGGAAGAGGCGAGUGGAAUUCCCGGUGUAGCGGUGAAAUGCGCAGAUAUCGGGAGGAACACCAAUGGCGAAGGCAGCUCGCUGGGACGGUACUGACGCUGAGGCGCGAAAGCGUGGGGAGCAAACAGG